UACGAAGGGGGCUAGCGUUGUUCGGAAUUACUGGGCGUAAAGCGCGCGCAGGCGGUUUUUCAAGUCAGUGGUGAAAGCCCGGAGCUCAACUCCGGAACUGCCAUUGAAACUGUAAAACUUGAGGACGAGAGAGGUGAGUGGAAUUCCCAGUGUAGAGGUGAAAUUCGUAGAUAUGCGGAGGAACACCGAUGGCGAAGGCAAUCCCCUGGACCUGUACUGACGCUCAUGCACGAAAGCGUGGGGAGCAAACAGG
rnacentral:rRNA from 1 species